GGGCGGGGUUAACAGCACGCAAACACAAAUGUCGCUGCAAAGUUUUUGACGCCACUUCCGGCGGCAGCAGGACAUGAUGAGCUUUAGAUCUUUUCACAGCAGGACACUGAUGGACCUCAAACCACCCUGUAACACUCCUCAUCUGAGUAACCAUGGCGACAAACUCAAUAAUGACUUACAUGUUCAGACCAAUUUUAAACAUGCUGAUAUCCAGAAAAAUGGACGGGCAGGAUUUCUGAGAUCAUUAUCCAUGUUCACACACAGAAAUUCAACCGGGCCACUGCUCCGUGGCCACACCCACUAAACAUCACUCCUUAGAAACAUCUCAGUGGCUGAUGCCAUGAAUGUCUGAUCAAAUAGGGCAUACUAGGAGAGAGAGCAUGAGGAGGGACUGAGAAAGAGCCAAACAGGUGAUGGGGAAUACACUUAUCAUGAUAAUCAUCAAGGUCACCUUGAAGGAUUCAUGUAGGUUCAAAUGAAAGGGUAACUACUACUACUACUACUUUUGAGGCAGGAGAAGGAAGAAAAGCAGGAGGAGAAGCAGGAGCAGAAAAAGAAGCAGGAGCAGGAAGAAAAGCAGGAGGA